CCCUGGGUGGUGCAAAUGGUUAACAUGCUUGGCUGUUAACCAAAAGAUUGGAGGUUCAAGUCCACCCAAAGGUG
rfam:Loxodonta africana unplaced genomic scaffold scaffold_20, whole genome shotgun sequence.